UCAUUCCCGACGAGAAAACAAAAUGGAAAAAAGCCCCACACCCCAUCGUCUUUCACUAGGACCCCAAUCCACCCCUGCAUCCCGCCGCCGCCCGAGCGUGCUCCCACCAGCGCGCCGCCGCCCCGGGCCUCCUUCCUCCUCCGGCCAAGCUCGCCGCCGCCCCCGGUCCUCCUUCCUCCUCCGGCCAAGCUCGCCGCCGCCCCCGGUCCUCCUUCCUCCUCCGGCCAAGCGCGCCGCUGCCCCUGUCCCCCUCCUCCGGCCAAGCGCGCCACCGCCCCCGGUCCUCGCGGCACGCCAUCGCCGCCGGUGCGCCUUACCUCGUGCGCGGCCGUGGCCCCUGACGCACCCCCACUGCUACCCUGUCCGCGGAUCCCCACGGCACGACGUCGAGGUCAUGGAGCACGAGGGAGGUUCUCUCACUAAUUUGUUUCUCUCUGUGCUGCAGCACGAGGGAGGUUGGAUGAACUGCACGAAAAAAAGCUCAGUUCUACAGACAGCCCCCGCCGCCCACACGGACUACUUCCUCCGGUCCUCAUCCAGCGGCCAAAUCCCGGCACACCUGAUAGUUCAAACUUACACCGACUGACCUGCGACCAACUACCCCGCCUCUACAAGCUCCUCGGGAAUGACUUGGUAGUAGCUGGGAUCCCCCUACAGCGGCAAAAUCCCGGCGCACCCAGCCGCCGCUCGUGAUCCCCGCUCCUUCAGCUCGACUUCGUCGGCGCAGUCAGUCCACAGGAGUAGGAGCGGCGUGCCCGGCAACAAACAAGAACAGAAGGUGGUUCAAUGUGUCGAGCGGCAGCAGCGCUUGAUCCCUAGUGGUUGCCCGCGCAAGGAGGAUACAGGGACGCUACAGUGGUGGAGGAGUCAGUACAUGUAGUAGCUAGCUCAAGAAAAGGAGGUUCAAAGACUGCCAUGUAGCAAGUUCAAGAGUUUAGUUUUGUGAAAAAAGUGAUUUCUUGGUUAAUGCAAUCCUCCUGUGGAAGCACUAAAACACGCUACCUGUUGAACUGAUACCGAAGACAAGGAGCAGGACCAAGUGUGCUGGAAGUUUUUUUGUACCCAUGUGCGGAAGCACUUUAUUUUUCUGAUAAUUAUUGUUGUGUUCAUGUGGGAAACUUCAAAAACAUCUUGUUUAAUAAGUUAUUGAGCUAAAAAUGGUAUGGUUCAUACAUUCUCGUU